AAUCCAUAGGUUAAUGAGGCGAACCGGGGGAACUGAAACAUCUAAGUACCCCGAGGAAAAGAAAUCAACCGAGAUUCCCCCAGUAGCGGCGAGCGAACGGGGAGCAGCCCAGAGCCUGAAUCAGUGUGUGUGUUAGUGGAAGCGUCUGGAAAGGCGCGCGAUACAGGGUGACAGCCCCGUACACAAAAAUGCACAUACUGUGAGCUCGAUGAGUAGGGCGGGACACGUGGUAUCCUGUCUGAAUAUGGGGGGACCAUCCUCCAAGGCUAAAUACUCCUGACUGACCGAUAGUGAACCAGUACCGUGAGGGAAAGGCGAAAAGAACCCCGGCGAGGGGAGUGAAAAAGAACCUGAAACCGUGUACGUACAAGCAGUGGGAGCACGCUUAGGCGUGUGACUGCGUACCUUUUGUAUAAUGGGUCAGCGACUUAUAUUCUGUAGCAAGGUUAACCGAAUAGGGGAGCCGAAGGGAAACCGAGUCUUAACUGGGCGUUAAGUUGCAGGGUAUAGACCCGAAACCCGGUGAUCUAGCCAUGGGCAGGUUGAAGGUUGGGUAACACUAACUGGAGGACCGAACCGACUAAUGUUGAAAAAUUAGCGGAUGACUUGUGGCUGGGGGUGAAAGGCCAAUCAAACCGGGAGAUAGCUGGUUCUCCCCGAAAGCUAUUUAGGUAGCGCCUCGUGAAUUCAUCUCCGGGGGUAGAGCACUGUUUCGGCAAGGGGGUCAUCCCGACUUACCAACCCGAUGCAAACUGCGAAUACCGGAGAAUGUUAUCACGGGAGACACACGGCGGGUGCUAACGUCCGUCGUGAAGAGGGAAACAACCCAGACCGCCAGCUAAGGUCCCAAAGUCAUGGUUAAGUGGGAAACGAUGUGGGAAGGCCCAGACAGCCAGGAUGUUGGCUUAGAAGCAGCCAUCAUUUAAAGAAAGCGUAAUAGCUCACUGGUCGAGUCGGCCUGCGCGGAAGAUGUAACGGGGCUAAACCAUGCACCGAAGCUGCGGCAGCGACGCUGAUGCGUUGUUGGGUA
rnacentral:rRNA from 1 species